AAUCAACGCUGGCGGCGUGCCUAACACAUGCAAGUCGAACGCGAAAGCCCUUUCGGGGGUAAGUAGAGUGGCGUCCGGGUGAGUAACACGUAGGUAAUCUACCUUCGGGUGGGGAAUAACUCGCCGAAAGGCGAGCUAAUACCGCAUAAUGCAGCGGCACCUAAUGGUGAUUAGUUGUUAAAGCGGGGGAUCGUAAGACCUCGCGCCUGAAGAGGAGCCUGCGGCAGAUUAGCAGUUGGUGAGGUAAUGGCUCACCAAGGCUUCGAUCUGUAGCUGGUCUGAGAGGACGGCCAGCCACACUGGCACUGACACACGGGCCAGACUCCUACGGGAGGCAGCAGUGGGGAAUUUUGGGCAAUGGGCGCAAGCCUGACCCAGCAACGCCGCGUGAGGGGAGGAAACUCCGUUCGGGAUGUAAACCUCACAAGACGAAGGGAAGAGAGCU
rnacentral:rRNA from 1 species